rnacentral:sRNA from 1 species
UGAUCCCGCCUUGAUGAUGAUGGACUGAACCUCUGAACUUCCCCAACAUGAGCCCUGGGAAUAUAAGAUGAAUGUCAUGUCGUCCCUUCCUGAAGAGGCUGAAGGGAGCAAGGUGAACCCAAUGUGCACAGAACAAAUGCACUUUGCCCAGGUCUUCAGGCUGUCACUGCACUCUGGCGUGCACUUUCUGUUUUGAUGAGUCACUGCAGGUUUCCUUUUCCCCCUAUAUUUCUUUGAGGAGGCAGGUGCAAUUUAAUAUUUGUCCAUUUAAAAUGUUUCAUUGUUUAUAACAAAUAAAAAUCACACACAUUUACAAUGUCUCACCAAAUGUAUCGUUUUUUGUAAUAAGAACCCUUUAACAAUGUAGCCAUCUUGAAGGAGGCAAACUGCUGAGUGGGUAGAAGGCUCCGCUGUUAGGAACACGGGCUGCUCUUCCAGAGGGCAUCUCAGGAGCAUCUGGGAUUUCAGCCUAAGAGAUCUGACACCCUCUCCUGGCUCCCUCAGGCACCAGGCAUUCAUGCGGUGUACGGACGUACAGCAUAACUACAGACAUUUCUGCAGUGGAACGAAAGCAAACUCAGCCUCUUAGCUGCCUUUCUCUAGUAUCUCAUUGCAGCAACAUGAAGCAAACACUGAUGGACUUCAGCUCUCCAUUUCUGAGAUGAUGCCCGUGGAUGCUUACUGUAGCCUCCUGACCUUUGUGUUUCUGUGUGGAGCAGCAAGUUACUACCAUAUACAUCUACACAAUGGAAUAUUACUC